rnacentral:rRNA from 1 species
UACGGAGGGUGCAAGCGUUAUUCGGAAUUACUGGGUUUAAAGGGUGCGUAGGCGGUUAAAUAAGUUGUCAGUGAAAGGCUACGGCUCAACUGUAGUAGUGCUGGCGAUACUGUAUAACUAAGGACAUGGGAGGGGUACCUGGAAUGUGUGGUGUAGCGGUGAAAUGCGUAGAUAUCACACAGAACACCGGAGGCAAAGGCGGGGUACUAGACCAUAGUUGACGCUGAGGCACGAAAGCGUGGGGAUCAAACAGGAUUAGAUACCCUGGUAGUCCACGCCCUAAACGAUGAUCACUAGAUAUUGGCGACAGACAGUCAGUGUCCAAGCGAAAGUGAUAAGUAUCCCACCUGGGAAGUACGUUCGCAAGAAUGAA